UACGUAGGGGGCAAGCGUUGUCCGGAUUUACUGGGUGUAAAGGGUGCUCAGGUGGUUGUGCAAGUCAGAGGUGAAAUCCUAGAGCUUAACUCUGGAACUGCCUUUGAUACUGCAUAGCUUGUGUACGGAAGAGGCUGAUGGAAUUCCUGGUGUAGCAGUGAAAUGCGUAGAUAUCAGGAAGAACACCAGUGGCGAAGGCGGUCAGCUGGUCCGUUACAGACACUAAAGCACGAAAGCGUGGGGAG
rnacentral:rRNA from 1 species